rnacentral:rRNA from 1 species
CAACCUACCUAUCAGAGGGGAAUAACCCGGCGAAAGUCGGACUAAUACCGCAUAAAACAGGGGCACCGCAUGGUGAUAUUUGUUAAAGAGAUUCGCUGAUAGAUGGGCAUGCGUUCCAUUAGGUAGUUGGUGAGGUAACGGCUCACCAAGCCGACGAUGGAUAGGGGAACUGAGAGGUUGGUCCCCCACACUGGUACUGAGACACGGACCAGACUCCUACGGGAGGCAGCAGUGAGGAAUAUUGGUCAAUGGGCGAGAGCCUGAACCAGCCAAGUCGCGUGAAGGAAGAAGGAUCUAUGGUUCGUAAACUUCUUUUGCAGGGGAAUAAAGUGCAGGACGUGUCCUGUUUUGUAUGUACCCUGAGAAUAAGGAUCGGCUAACUCCGUGCCAGCAGCCGCGGUAAUACGGAGGAUCCGAGCGUUAUCCGGAUUUAUUGGGUUUAAAGGGUGCGUAGGUGGUUUGAUAAGUCAGCGGUGAAAGUUUGCAGCUUAACUGUAAAAAUGCCGUUGAAACUGUCGGACUUGAGUGUAAAUGANGUAGGCGGAAUGCGUGGUGUAGCGGUGAAAUGCAUAGAUAUCACGAAGAACUCCGANUG